UGUAAUUAUUGGAUUGCAACUGAUGGCUGUAAUGUACUAACACUAUGAUCGCUACUGCGAUGGGGCUGACAAUGAAUACCCUUACCUUUUAUCUUCUGUAUCCCGUUGAAACGUUCUUGACUUAAUAAAAAUUGUCAAAUUGAAAAAAAAAUAAAGAAAAUGUGAUUCUUUGUUAAACUAAUUUGUAUAUGCCACCUAGAAUCUUUUGCGGUAGUAA